rnacentral:pre_miRNA from 1 species
AAUACGUGAAUGACAAAUUAAAUUUUUUUUCUUGAUUUUUAGCUUUUUCCUUCUCAAACAAUUCAAAUCCAACUGAAAAUGUUAAAAAUCAAGAGGAAAAAUCUAAUUUAUUAUUCUCCUAUU